UGACCUUGACCCUCACACCUGCUGUUUUCAUUGCCAUGAGAGUUCUUAAAUUAACUGGACCGGUCAUUGAACUAACUACAAUUUCACAUGUAAGUUUAGAAUAGCAUGCUACCUAAGAAACGAAAUACUGUGCUUAAAAGACAGCCUCCAGCAUGCUUAAGAGCUGAAAACAAACAGCUCAAAUUGAUUAUCCUUGAUUAAGAAAGGUUUCAACUGUGCAACAGAGUUGGGUCUGGAACUGAACUAGCAGGCGUUGCGAACAACAGUGAAACUAGGCCCUAAGACACAGGCAGGAAAUAAUUCGUUUUCAGACUGCAAACAGGAGGCGCGUCUUUACACAAAGGGUGGCGGGAGUCUGGAACAAGACGCCCAGCCCUGUUGCUAAAGUUGCCCACUAUGAGUCCCUUCAAGGAACAGGUCUUAUAAACCAAAGGCUAUUCCACUGAGCGACUCGACUAACGAACACGAGUCAGCGCACGUGCUGGGGAAGCUGCUGAUGGGCACAGUCUGAACAGCACUUAGCCCUCCUGAACACCCACAGAGGCGAGGAGAGGGAGCCAGACGCUCGUUUGGAUGGCUCAGGGGUGAUUCCCAACGUGUGCAAAGGGGAAUUUCUCCAGGAAUCACAGCGCCGGGCCGGGGGGGUGAGGGGCCGAUGUUCUUCACCUUUACUUUAAUUCAAAUUCACAC